GGACAUUGUGCAAGUGUAUGACUGUGUGUGUUUGUGUGUGUGUGUUGCAAGAAGGUAGGGGCAAAGUAUAUCUGGACCUGUGAAGGAAAAAAUCAUUGCACCUUUCCUGAAAGUAGGAAAAUAGGUUGUAAAAUGUUGCAUAUGUUGCUGUUAAUCCAUAAAAAGGCAAAAUGUGAAUGGUAAUUGAUCAACGUUGUAAUAUUCAUCUUACAUUUAAUUCUAGCUUUCAUUGUCA